rnacentral:tRNA from 1 species
GGUUCUGUGGCACAAUGGACAGCGCAUUGGACUUCUAGUUAAUCUCUAAAAGAAAUGAUUCAAAGGUUGUGGUUUGAAUCCCAUCAGAGUUG